UACGUAGGGAGCAAGCGUUGUCCGGAAUCAUUGGGCGUAAAGCGCGCGUAGGUGGCCAUGUAAGUCCGCUGUGAAAGUCAAAGGCUCAACCUUUGAAAGCCGGUGGAUACUGCAUGGCUAGAGUACGGAAGAGGCGAGUGGAAUUCCUGGUGUAGCGGUGGAAUGCGCAGAUAUCAGGAGGAACACCGAUGGCGAAGGCAGCUCGCUGGGACGGUACUGACGCUGAGGCGCGAAAGCGUGGGGAGCGAACAGG
rnacentral:rRNA from 1 species